AGUGUCUUUAUAAGCUUCAGUGUCUCUUCUCCUCACACUCCAACCCUGCUCACCUCUCAGCUGGACAGUAAGGGACGUUUACAGCACACACUGACAACAUGCUGGGGACCCUGUGCACUCUCAUCACUGCUCUAACAUAUGUUGAUGCAGUGAUAGUGUUU